rnacentral:rRNA from 1 species
CCUACGGGAGGCAGCAGUGGGGAAUAUUGCACAAUGGGGGAAACCCUGAUGCAGCAACGCCGCGUGAAGGAAGACGGUUUUCGGAUUGGAAACUUCUUUUGACAGGGAAGAGCAGAAGACGGUACCUCUUGAAUAAGCCACGGCUAACUACGUGCCAUCAGCCGCGGUAAUACGUAGGUGGCAAGCUUUGUCCGGAUUUACUGGGUGUAAAGGGCGUGCAGCCGGGAAGACAAGUCAGAUGUGAAAUCCCGCGGCGCAACCGCGGAACUGCAUUUGAAACUGUUUUUCUUGAGUACCGGAGAGGUCAUCGGAAUUCCUGGUGUAGCGGUGAAAUGCGUAGAUAUAAGGAAGAACACCAGUGGCGAAGGCGGAUGACUGGACGGCAACUGACGGUGAGGCGCGAAAGCGUGGGGAGCAAACAGGAUUAGAUACCCUUGUAGUC